GAUGAACGCUGGCGGCGUGCCUAAUACAUGCAAGUCGAGCGAACGGACGAGAAGCUUGCUUUUCUGAUGUUAGCGGCGGACGGGUGAGUAACACGUGGAUAACCUACCUAUAAGACUGGGAUAACUUCGGGAAACCGGAGCUAAUACCGGAUAAUAUUUUGAACCGCAUGGUUCAAAAGUGAAAGACGGUCUUGCUGUCACUUAUAGAUGGAUCCGCGCUGCAUUAGCUAGUUGGUAAGGUAACGGCUUACCAAGGCAACGAUGCAUAGCCGACCUGAGAGGGGUAACGGCCACACUGGAACUGAGACACGGUCCAGACUCCUACGGGAGGCAGCAGUAGGGAAUCUUCCGCAAUGGGCGAAAGCCUGACGGAGCAACGCCGCGUGAGUGAUGAAGGUCUUCGGAUCGUAAAACUCUGUUAUUAGGGAAGAACAUAUGUGUAAGUAACUGUGCACAUCUUGACGGUACCUAAUCAGAAAGCCACGGCUAACUACGU
rnacentral:rRNA from 1 species